rnacentral:rRNA from 1 species
AGCGAACGCUGGCGGCAGGCCUAACACAUGCAAGUCGAACGACCCUUUCGGGGUUAGUGGCGGACGGGUGAGUAACACGUGGGAACGUGCCUUUAGGUUCGGAAUACCUCAGGGAAACUUGUGCUAAUACCGAAUGUGCCCUUCGGGGGAAAGAUUAAUCGCCUUUAGAGCGGCCCGCGUCUGAUUAGCUAGUUGGUUGAGGUAAUGGCUCACCAAGGCGACGAUCAGUAGCUGGUCUGAGAGGAUGAUCAGCCACAUUGGGACUGAGACACGGCCCAAACUCCUACGGGAGGCAGCAGUGGGGAAUCUUGCGCAAUGGGCGAAAGCCUGACGCAGCCAUGCCGCGUGAAUGAUGAAGGUCUUAGGAUUGUAAAAUUCUUUCACCGGGGACGAUAAUGACGGUACCCGGAGAAGAAGCCCCGGCUAACUUCGUG